AUUGAACGCUGGCGGCAUGCCUUACACAUGCAAGUCGAACGGCAGCACGGGAGCAAUCCUGGUGGCGAGUGGCGAACGGGUGAGUAAAGUAUCGGAACGUGCCCAGUCGUGGGGGAUAACGUAGCGAAAGUUACGCUAAUACCGCAUACGAUCUAUGGAUGAAAGCGGGGGAUCGCAAGACCUCGCGCGAUUGGAGCGGCCGAUAUCAGAUUAGGUAGUUGGUGGGGUAAAGGCUCACCAAGCCGACGAUCUGUAGCUGGUCUGAGAGGACGACCAGCAACACUGGGACUGAGACACGGCCCAGACUCCUACGGGAGGAAGCAGUGGGGAAUUUUGGACAAUGGGCGAAAGCCUGAUCCAGCCAUGCCGCGUGCGGGAUGAAGGCCUUCGGGUUGUAAACUGCUUUUGUACGGAACGAAAAGGUUUGGCCUAAUAAGCUGAGCUCAUGACGGUACCGUAAGAAUAAGCACCGGCUAACUACGUGCCAGCCGCCGCAGUAA
rnacentral:rRNA from 1 species